CCGUGAUAACGUAGCAUAAUCAUUCGCCACCUAAUUAGUGGAUAGUAUGAAUGGUAAAACGAGUAUAACACUCUCUCAGAAGGAAGUUUUAUGAAAUUGGAAUGGUAGUCAAGAUACUACCUAAAACUGUAAGACGAAAAGACCCUAUAGAGCUUAACUACACCUUUCUCACAAAGUUAAGUUCACUUAAGUUCAAGGAAGAUUGGUAGUUUAGUUGGGGCGACUGCUUUCUAGUAAAAACGAAAGCAAGCAAUAUUAAUUAUCUAAUUUACUGUCUAAUCUAUGUGUUUAACAGUUAUAAAAAUAGGCAAUAGUGACCCGUUAGUAACAAAAAACACCACUAACGAACAAUAAAUAAAAGCUACCUUAGGGAUAACAGGAUAAUCUUGUUCUAGAGACCCUAUCGAAAACAAGGUUUGUCACCUCUAUGUUGAAUUAAGAUAUCCUAGAAGUGUAGAAGCUUCUGAGG
rnacentral:rRNA from 1 species